UCUAAAAAUUCCUCUAGGAAAUUAGUUUCGACCUAAUUUUAGCUUUUAGCUUUUAGAA
rnacentral:tRNA from 1 species